CUUCUGUGAUUGCAACCACAUUGUCGAGUUCGCGUUUGUGGAGUUCGUGUCUGCGCUUCCAUCGAAGGUACAUGAUUCCUAUUUGUUGUGAGAGUGAAAUGAUGGGCAGCAGCACCAACUGAGGUACAUGAUUCCUAUUUGUUGUGAGAGUGAAAUGAUGGGCAGCAGCACCAACUAAGGUACAUGAUUCCUAUUUGUUGUGAGAGUGAAAUGAUGGG